rnacentral:rRNA from 1 species
AAGAACGCUGGCGGCGUGCCUAAUACCUGCCAGUCGAGCGCACAGACGAGGAGCUUGCUCCUCUGACGUUAGCGGCGGACGGGUGAGUAACACGUGGAUAACCUACCUAUAAGACUGGGAUAACUUCGGGAAACCGGAGCUAAUACCGGAUAAUAUAUUGAACCGCAUGGUUCAAUAGUGAAAGACGGUUUUGCUGUCACUUAUAGAUGGAUCCGCGCCGCAUUAGCUAGUUGGUAAGGUAACGGCUUACCAAGGCAACGAUGCGUAGCCGACCUGAGAGGGUGAUCGGCCACACUGGAACUGAGACACGGUCCAGACUCCUACGGGAGGCAGCAGUAGGGAAUCUUCCGCAAUGGGCGAAAGCCUGACGGAGCAACGCCGCGUGAGUGAUGAAGGUCUUCGGAUCGUAAAACUCUGUUAUUAGGGAAGAACAAAUGUGUAAGUAACUAUGCACGUCUUGACGGUACCUAAUCAGAAAGCCACGGCUAACUACGUG